GAAAAAACCCUCUGCACCAAACCCUACCUCUCUCUCUCACCUCUCUUCCCUUCCUUCCUUCUGCCCGCCGCCUCCCUCUCCUCACCAAAUCUAGAUCGACGCCGCCACCCCUCGACCCGGCCUCUCCCUCACCCCUCUCUUCCCGUCUCCGGUGGCAGUGCCCUCCUUCCCUCGCGUUGCACCCGAACCUCGCUCCCGCUCCCAGGUCUUCUUCCUCCUCCGCCGCAGCUAGGGUUGCGUCUCCUUGAUCCCCAAUCCCCGAAGCUCAGAUCCAGCAGCAGCAGUAGCGAUGGCGGCCGCGGGAGACCCUCUCCAAGGUUAAGCACGUCCCGGCCAAGCCUGCCGGCCGCCCUCACGGGUGCCGCGGCGACGACGGCGGCCUCGUCAUCCUCGAAGGCUGCGGCGCCCCUCAUGGCCGACCGGGCACCCGCGCCGCUUAUAUGGGACAAGGUGGUGCACGAGCACUAGGGGUCCCUCGCCACCACUGCAGCAUUCGGACCGAAUCGGACCAGGGUCCCUCCCCCUCCGCCCAUGACGCGUUGUCGAAGAUGGCGUCCCCGAAGCGGCUCAUGUACUCCUCCGUGGGCGGGGGCGGAGCGAGGCGUGGCUCCGGCGCGCUGCCACCGAUGGUGGUCCUCGUCUUCCUCUUCAUCGUCGCGCCGUCGACCUUCUUCGUCGUGCGCAGCGGCAGCAAUGUCCACGUCACGUUUGGUUUGACCCGCCUCACUCCCUAGACCACUUUUGUUAGAGGAACCACUUCAGUAUUUCGUACGAGGCGCCACCGAUUCUUAAUUUGGUGUCCCAUAGCAUCUAGGUUGGUCCAUCCGCGCUUGGAUUCGCCUGGGCCGCGAGUUUGAUGCGCUUCUGCGGGUUUGAUUUGGCGAGGGUACCGCAAGAGUGGAGUCCACCGUGUAGAUUUGAUUUGGGUGGUUCAGGAUCAUUGCUUAUUAUUUCCUUCGAUUGGCAGGCCCAGAUUCACCGUUGCUGCCAGCGCGUACCACAACCUCGCGCUGGAUGGAUCGUGCUCUAAGCCUCUAUUUGUAUGUAAGUUAAAAUGAUGCCGAGGGUUCAAGCCAUGUGUGAUUUCUCUUGACAUAGGUGCUCCUCCCAUGUUAUGUCUCUCUGUUGAAUAGAUAGGUUCAAUUUUCUUUUGUUCUAUUUCUAGUUUGAGCAUAAGCAGGUUCUAGUAGUGUCUAUGCAUGUGGCUCAUGAGUUGGAAUAUCUAAUCUAAUUAGGGACUGUAGACCUGCUGUGUCAUGUGCAAACUUGCUUGCAUUCAAUUCAGAAUUUCUGAAUUCUUUGAUGUUUGCUUUCACUCAAUGAUUGCGGUAGUCAAAUUAGAUGUCUCCUCUGCUGCAAUUCACUCGUCUCCCUAUCAUGGUUUGUCUUGAAUUUUGGUAGUGUGACAAACACAUUACUAAAUUCUAGUUUUUUGGUGCUAAUUCUAGUUACUUUAUAUGAAGCAAAAGUUAUCUUGCGGCCAUCUAAUAUGCAAUUCUAAUAAUAUUUCAUAUCCUAUUUUUUUUAAGUUGUAUAUGUCAUUCGUGCAUUAAUUCCUUUUUUUAUGUACCAGCUCCCUGAUCAUGUUUUUUGUUUUUUGGGUUGCUAUCUUAGGAGAGAACCUAGUGUCCUAUAUGGGGAAGCAAAGAAGCAUCACACAACUCCGACAUACAACUUCCGAUGAAGGCGCAACGACACACCAUGCCGCUCCUUUGGAAGAUGUUGGCCUUCAUUCGUCAAAAGUUGGUGUACAAGAGCUCCAGGAGAAGAAUCCUAAAGAAAACCAGCACCCAACUAUGUGUUUUAGCUCCCUGGAGCUGGCCAUGUUAAUAUUAGGUGUAUUUUAUAGUUGAAUACUGAUUUGUACUGCCAUGAAAUUAAAGUACUUCGUUUGGCUGUCGUUUGAAAUUGUAUGUGUUAUUGGCUC